rnacentral:rRNA from 1 species
UACAAGAUAAGGAGCUUGCCUUUGACGUUAGCGGCGGACGGGUGAGUAACACGUGGGUAACCUACCUAUAAGACUGGGAUAACUCCGGGAAACCGGGGCUAAUGCCGGAUAACAUUUUGAACCGCAUGGUUCUAAAGUGAAAGAUGGUUUUGCUGUCACUUAUAGAUGGACCCGCGCCGUAUUAGCUAGUUGGUAAGGUAACGGCUUACCAAGGCAACGAUACGUAGCCGACCUGAGAGGGUGAUCGGCCACACUGGAACUGAGACACGGUCCAGACUCCUACGGGAGGCAGCAGUAGGGAAUCUUCCGCAAUGGGCGAAAGCCUGACGGAGCAACGCCGCGUGAGUGAUGAAGGUCUUCGGAUCGUAAAACUCUGUUAUUAGGGAAGAACAAAUGUGUAAGUAACUGUGCACGUCUUGACGGUACCUAAUCAGAAAGCCACGGCUAACUACGUGCCAGCAGCCGCGGUAAUACGUAGGUGGCAAGCGUUAUCCGGAAUUAUUGGGCGUAAAGCGCGCGUAGGCGGUUUCUUAAGUCUGAUGUGAAAGCCCACGGCUCAACCGUGGAGGGUCAUUGGAAACUGGAAAACUUGAGUGCAGAAGAGGAUAGUGGAAUUCCAUGUGUAGCGGUGAAAUGCGCAGAGAUAUGGAGGAACACCAGUGGCGAAGGCGACUUUUUUGUCUGUAACUGACGCUGAUGUGCGAAAGCGUGGUGAUCAAACAAGAUUAGAUAACCUGGUAGUCCACGCCGUAAACGAUGAGUGCUAAGUGUUAGGGGGUUUCCGCCCCUUAGUGGUGCAGCUAACGCAUUAAGCACUCCGCCUGGGGAGUACGACCGCAAGGUUGAAACUCAAUAGGAAUUGACGGGGACCCGCACAAGCGGUGGAGCAUGUGGUUUAAUUUGAAGCAACGCGUAAGAACCUUACCAAAUUUUGACAUCCUUUUACAACUAUAGAAGAUAGAGCCUUCCCCUUCGGGGGACAAAGUGACAGGUGGUGCAUGGUUGUUGUCAGCUCGUGUUGUGAGAUGGUGGGUUAAGUCCCGCAACGAGGGCAACCCUUAAACUUAGUUGCCAGCAUUUAGUUGGGCACUUUAAGUUGACUGCCGGUGACAAACCGGAGGAAGGGGGGGAAGACGUCAAAUCAUCAUGCCCCUUAUGAUUUGGGGUACACACGUGGUACAAUGGACAAUACAAAGGGCAGGUAAACCGCGAGGUCAAGCAAAUCCCAUAAAGUUGUUUUCAGUUUGGAUUGUAGUUUGCAACUUGACUACAUGAAGCUGGAAUCGCUAGUAAUUGUAGAUCAGCAUGCUACGGUGAAUACGUUCCCGGGUCUUGUAC